rnacentral:rRNA from 1 species
UACGGGAGGCAGCAGUGGGGAAUAUUGCACAAUGGGCGCAAGCCUGAUGCAGCCAUGCCGCGUGUAUGAAGAAGGCCUUCGGGUUGUAAAGUACUUUCAGUCGUGAGGAAGGUGUUAAGGUUAAUAACCUUAGCAAUUGACGUUAGCGACAGAAGAAGCACCGGCUAACUCCGUGCCAGCAGCCGCGGUAAUACGGAGGGUGCGAGCGUUAAUCGGAAUUACUGGGCGUAAAGGGCACGCAGGCGGUUAAUUAAGUUGGAUGUGAAAUCCCCGGGCUUAACCUGGGAAUGGCAUUCAAGACUGGUUAGCUAGAGUCUUGUAGAGGGGGUAGAAUUCCAUGUGUAGCGGUGAAUGCGUAGAGAUGUGGAGGAAUACCGGUGGCGAAGGCGGCCCCUGGACAAAGGACUGACGCUCGAUGUGCGAAAGCGUGGGGAGCAAAC